ensembl:miRNA
CUGUACAUUGCCUUUCACAGGGAGGUGUCAUUUAUGUGAACUAAACUAUAAAUGUCACUUUUCUGAGAAGAGUAAUGUACAG